CCAUAUUAUUAUACAACCCAAGGGAGUUGGAAGGAUCCCCAAUAAUGACUGUAAAUUUCUUCCAAGCCCUGGGAUAUACAGCACUCACAAUCAUGUUUCUGUUGAAUUUUUUAAAUGAAAUAUGAAAUCUCUUGCAGAACGUAUUUUGUGAUUGCAAAUUUUUCCCAUUACACAAAUAAAAUACAUUUGAGGUAAAUGGGCUAGCCUCAUCUGGAAUAAGACACUUGGUUUAUUAAACAGCCUGUUGGCUAAUUUUUGGUUUUUCCUUUGUUUCCUGUAGAGACCACAGUUGUUUAAAGUGACUUCAGGGACCCCUGUC
rnacentral:lncRNA from 1 species